rnacentral:rRNA from 1 species
CCUACGGGUGGCAGCAGUGGGGAAUAUUGGGCAAUGGGCGCAAGCCUGACCCAGCAACGCCGCGUGAAGGAAGAAGGCUUUCGGGUUGUAAACUUCUUUUCUCAGGGACGAAGCAAGUGACGGUACCUGAGGAAUAAGCCACGGCUAACUACGUGCCAGCAGCCGCGGUAAUACGUAGGUGGCAAGCGUUAUCCGGAUUUACUGGGUGUAAAGGGCGUGUAGGCGGGACUGCAAGUCAGAUGUGAAAACCAUGGGCUCAACCUAUGGCCUGCAUUUGAAACUGUAGUUCUUGAGUACUGGGGAGGCAGACGGAAUUCCUAGGGGAGCGGUGAAAUGCGGAGGUAGUAGGAGGAACACCAGUGGGGAAGGCGGGCUGCUGGACAGCAACUGACGCUGGGGCGCGAAAGGGUGGGGAGCAAACAGGAUUAGAUACCCGGGUAGUC